GGAAAGAGAAGUCUGACGUCUGCCAAGUUCUAGGGCCAAGCAAACGAUAUGCAUUCCAGGAUGGUGACUGAAGCUCAUCUUUGUAAACACCUAAAUGCCUAGAAUGAACUUCAAAACAGAUUCUGAAAGUUUUACCUGUAUUAAUCUUAAAUAUGGACAAAAAGUAUACACUUGGAACACACAUAAAAACAGAUGGGUCCAUGCCAAGCUAAAGAUUAAUGCAGAAGAUAAAAGAGAACUGGAGAAGAAUGAAUUGAUGUUAACAUACUCAACAUUAAAUUUGGCUUAAAUCUAAA